rnacentral:rRNA from 1 species
AUUGAACGCUGGCGGCAGGCCUAACACAUGCAAGUCGAGCGGAUGAAGGGAGCUUGCUCCUGGAUUCAGCGGCGGACGGGUGAGUAAUGCCUAGGAAUCUGCCUGGUAGUGGGGGAUAACGUCCGGAAACGGGCGCUAAUACCGCAUACGUCCUGAGGGAGAAAGUGGGGGAUCUUCGGACCUCACGCUAUCAGAUGAGCCUAGGUCGGAUUAGCUAGUUGGUGGGGUAAAGGCCUACCAAGGCGACGAUCCGUAACUGGUCUGAGAGGAUGAUCAGUCACACUGGAACUGAGACACGGACCAGACUCCUACGGGAGGCAGCAGUGGGGAAUAUUGGACAAUGGGCGGAAGCCUGAUCCAGCCAUGCCGCGUGUGUGAAGAAGGUCUUCGGAUUGUAAAGCACUUUAAGUUGGGAGGAAGGGCAGUAAGUUAAUACCUUGCUGUUUUGACGUUACCAACAGAAUAAGCACCGGCUAACUUCGUG